CCCUGGGACUAAGCCUCCACAUUAAGCUUCCUGGCAUUCUUUCUGAGUUUGGCCUGCUGGAGCUGGCCGAUCCUGUGUGCAUUUCUGAUCAACCAUCAAUAUUUCAAGGCCAAGAAUUUGGAGAUAGAGGCUCUUUCUGAGGGCAACAUUAUAAGGCUUCAAAAAUAGCACAGUGAGCCAAGAGAAACUGCAAAGACACCGCUGUGGGAUGGUGAUUUGGAUAUAAAAUUCUCUGAGCCAGGUGACAUGUUUAUGACUAACUCACUUCAGACUUACUCAUUUAGUAUUGGCACUAUUUCAAAUAAAAAAAAUUCUCUUUU
ensembl:lncRNA novel transcript